rnacentral:rRNA from 1 species
AAUAGAUACCCCGGGUAGUCCUAGCCGUAAACGAUACUCGCUAGGUGUCGGCCACGGUGCGACCGUUGUCGGUGCCGUAGGGAAGCCGUGAAGCGAGCCACCUGGGAAGUACGGCCGCAAGGCUGAAACUUAAAGGAAUUGGCGGGGGAGCACCACAACGGGUGGAGCUUGCGGUUUAAUUGGAUUCAACGCCGGAAAUCUUACCGGGACCGACAGCAAUAUGAAGGCCAGGCUGAAGACUUUGCCGGAUUAGCUGAGAGGUGGUGCAUGGCCGUCGUCAGUUCGUACUGUGAAGCAUCCUGUUAAGUCAGGCAACGAGCGAGACCCACGCCCACAGUUGCCAGCGUACUCUCUGGAGUGACGGGUACACUGUGGGGACCGCCGCUGCUAAAGCGGAGGAAGGAAUGGGCAACGGCAGGUCAGUAUGCCCCGAAUAUCCCGGGCUACACGCGAGCUACAAUGGUUGGUACAAUGGGUAUCUACCCCGGAAAGGGGACGGGAAUCUCCUAAAACCAAUCUUAGUUCGGAUUGAGGGCUGCAACUCGCCUCA